GCUGACGAGUGGCGGACGGGUGAGUAACGCGUAGGAAUCUGCCUAUAAGUUGGGGACAACCCUUGGAAACAGGGGCUAAUACCGAAUAAGCUCUAAGGAGUAAAGUGUGCCUCUAUACUAUGCAUACGCUUAUAGAUGAGUCCGCGUUGGAUUAGCUAGAUGGUGGGGUAAAGGCCUACCAAGGCGACGAUCUAUAGCUGGUCUGAGAGGACGAUCAGCCACACUGGGACUGAGACACGGCCCAAACUCC
rnacentral:rRNA from 1 species